UACGUAGGUGACAAGCGUUAUCCGGAUUUAUUGGGCGUAAAGCGCACGCAGGCGGCGCAGCAAGUCUGACGUGAAAUCUCCCGGCUUAACCGGGAGCGGUCGUUGGAAACUGCUGGGCUCGAGGCGAUGAGAGGGGUGUGGAAUUCCCGGUGUAGUGGUGGAAUGCGUAGAUAUCGGGAGGAACAUCAGUGGCGAAAGCGGCACCCUGGCAUUAGCCUGACGCUCAGGUGCGAAAGCGUGGGGAGCGAACGGG
rnacentral:rRNA from 1 species